UACGUAGGGUCCGAGCGUUGACCGGAAUUAUUGGGCGUAAAGGGCUCGUAGGCGGUUUGUCGCGUCGGGAGUGAAAACUUGGGGCUUAACCCCAUUCGUGCUUCCGAUACGGGCAGACUAGAGGCAGGCAGGGGAGAACGGAAUUCCUGGUGUAGCGGUGGAAUGCGCAGAUAUCAGGAGGAACACCGGUGGCGAAGGCGGUUCUCUGGGCCUGUUCUGACGCUGAGGAGCGAAAGCAUGGGGAGCGAACAGG
rnacentral:rRNA from 1 species